AGAGUUUGAUCCUGGCUCAGGACGAACGCUGGCGGCGUGCUUAACACAUGCAAGUCGAACGGAGCGAAUGAAAGCUUGCUUUUAUGAGCUUAGUGGCAAACGGGUGAGUAACACGUAGACAACCUGCCGACAGGAUGGGGACAACAUUCCGAAAGGAAUGCUAAUACCGAAUGAGGUCGAGGGAGGGCAUCCUCCUUCGAUGAAAGAUGGCCUCUAUAUAUAAGCUAUCACCUGUCGAUGGGCCUGCGUCUGAUUAGCCAGUUGGCGGGGUAACGGCCCACCAAAGCGACGAUCAGUAGCCGGUCUGAGAGGAUGAACGGCCACAUUGGGACUGAGACACGGCCCAGACUCCUACGGGAGGCAGCAGUGGGGAAUCUUCCACAAUGGGCGAAAGCCUGAUGGAGCAACGCCGCGUGAGUGAAGAAGGUCUUCGGAUCGUAAAGCUCUGUUGCACGGGACGAAAACCGAGCUUGAAAACAUUGAGUUUGGGUGACGGUACCGGAAUAGAAAGCCACGGCUAACUACGUGCCAGCAGCCGCGGUAAUACGUAGGUGGCAAGCGUUGUCCGGAAUUAUUGGGCGUAAAGCGGCGCGCAGGCGGAUAGGUCAGUCUGUCUUAAAAGUUCGGGGCUUAACCCCGUGAUGGGAUGGAAACUGCCAAUCUAGAGUAUCGGAGAGGAAAGUGGAAUUCCUAGUGUAGCGGUGAAAUGCGUAGAUAUUAGGAAGAACACCAGUGGCGAAAGGCGACUUUCUGGACGAAAACUGACGCUGAGGCGCGAAAGCCAGGGGAGCGAACGGGAUUAGAUACCCCGGGUAGUCCUGGCCGUAAACGAUGAGCACUAGGUGUCGGGGUCGCAAGACUUCGGUGCCGCAGUUAACGCAUUAAGUGCUCCGCCUGGGGAGUACGCACGCAAGUGUAAAACUCAAAGGAAUUGACGGGGACCCGCCACAAGCAGCGGAGCAUGUGGUUUAAUUCGAAGCAACGCGAAGAACCUUACCAGGACUUGACAUCCUCUUGACAGAUCCUUAAUCGGAUUCUUCUUCGGACAAGAGAGACAGGUGGUGCAUGGUUGUCGUCAGCUCGUGUCGUGAGAUGUUGGGUUAAGUCCCGCAACGAGCGCAACCCUUGCCAUUAGUUGCCAUCAUUUAGUUGGGCACUCUAGUGGGACUGCCGGGGAAAACUCGGAGGAAGGUGGGGAUGACGUCAAAUCAUCAUGCCCCUUAUGUUCUGGGCUACACACGUGCUACAAUGGCCGGUACAACAGGCAGCGAACCCGUGAGGGGGAGCGAAUCCCAAAAGCCGGUCCCAGUUCGGACUGUAGGCUGCAACUCGCCUACACGAAGUUGGAGUUGCUAGUAAUCGCGGAUCAGAAUGCCGCGGUGAAUGCGUUCCCGGGUCUUGUACACACCGCCCGUCACACCAUGGAAGUUGGGGGUGCCCGAAGUCGGUUAUUUAAUCUAUCGCCUAAGGCAAAACCAAUGACUGGGGUGAAGUCGUAACAAGGUAACC
rnacentral:rRNA from 1 species